UACGGAAGGCAGCAGUGGGGAAUAUUGCACAAUGGGCGCAAGCCUGAUGCAGCCAUGCCGCGUGUAUGAAGAAGGCCUUCGGGUUGUAAAGUACUUUCAGUCGUGAGGAAGGUGUUAAGGUUAAUAACCUUAGCAAUUGACGUUAGCGACAGAAGAAGCACCGGCUAACUCCGUGCCAGCAGCCGCGGUAAUACGGAGGGUGCGAGCGUUAAUCGGAAUUACUGGGCGUAAAGGGCACGCAGGCGGUUAAUUAAGUUGGAUGUGAAAUCCCCGGGCUUAACCUGGGAAUGGCAUUCAAGACUGGUUAGCUAGAGUCUUGUAGAGGGGGUAGAAUUCCAUGUGUAGCGGUGAAAUGCGUAGAGAUGUGGAGGAAUACCGGUGGCGAAGGCGGCCCCUGGACAAAGACUGACGCUCAUGUGCGAAAGCGUGGGGAGCAAACAGGAUUAGAUACC
rnacentral:rRNA from 1 species